rnacentral:lncRNA from 1 species
AACCUUAUGAAGGAUGAGGUGACAGGGGCUCAUCAAAGUGAGGCAAACUUGCCCAUAGUCACACAUGCAAGUGGAAGAGCCAGGGUGUGAACUGAGCCUGGGCUGUGAGCUUCUCACCAGUGCAGAAACCAUGGCUGACUGGAGUUAAGUGACUUAUCCACCAUAUCAUACACCCUGAGGGGGAAUCCCAGCUCCAUUUGCUGGCUGUAAUGCCUUGGGGAUUGGUUUCUUGUAGCCAGAUUGCAAUCAGGAAGUAGGAAGGAAGAAAUGAAGAUCUUUACAGGCUCUCUGUUGGCAGGGGAAAGGAACUGAUCUUUUCUCCAUUUAUUUGAGGCAUGGAAAUCAGCUGGCUAGAUUCUUUAAGGUCUCAGCUUAUUCACUACUUCCUAAGAGAACCCUUCCUGUCUCCUUAAGUACACCGAAUUCUCCAGUUACAUGGAGGUAUGUUUUCUUCACUGCACAUUUUU